rnacentral:lncRNA from 1 species
UGUACAUGGUCAUGCCAAGCUUCUCAAGCUUCUCUAAAUCCUUUAUCAUGGUCAAACCAUGAUCAUGGACAGACUGCCCAUCAUGCAUCUUGGUUUUGAAGAGCCUCUUGGACACUUCAAACCGAGCUGCGUGACUCGGAUCACCAUACAACUCUUGCAGGUGAUUUAAUAUGUCCCUGGCAGUCUUCAUGUUCUCAUGCUGGCAUUGUAAUGCAUUGGAUAUGGAUGCCAUUGUGCAGCACCUAACUUUAUUGUCAUUGUUCGUUCACUUAACAUGCGUCUUACGCUGAUCAGCGAUCGGAUAGAUUGGUAACACGGGGAUUCCAUGGUCUAGCACAUACCCUAAUUUCUCACAAUUCAAAAUUAUUUUUGAAAUUUGCUGAGCCAAUCUUUAUAAUUGGGUUUGGUCAAACGGUUGUUCUAUAGGAUAUGAGUUAAGAGUCUAGAAGCUGACUUCAUAAUCCUCAGAGAGUAAAGAUUCUAGUUAGACUUUUGUACUUGAUCCUAAUCUGUUCUAAGGUCUUUUAGAACAAAUGUAACUCCCACUAUUUUCUCGAAUUCUUCACACUCCCCUGGUAGGAAAACGGAAAUCCCACACGACUAGGAUUUCUAGUGGGUACUGCGGUCCCACCAAUUUACAUGCCACCUCACCUAACAGUUAUUGGUGACACAUAGAUUGAUGAAUGUACAACUCUUGUACAAUGCUUCUCAAGCAUGUUGCAGUGUAACUUGGUCUCUAAGCUAUGAAAACCUCACCUAACGGUUAU